AUUGUUAUAGGUUACGGAUGCAACGUCGUUAAAAAAUUCCAGGACAAUUAAAUUGUUGAUUCAAUCGAACAUAUGGUAUGAACAUGGUUUGUUUCACGGGGUGUUUCGGUGUCUUGCCUUGAAUCAAGGCAUGUAAAAACGUAAAGCUUGCUUUUAUCUAUCUUUUUUUAUUGUCACGUCUUUAUCCAUCUAUGUAACGCUUAAUCAUCAAUUAUUAUAUUAAACUUCAAUAAAGGCUGGUGUACCAAAUUCAUGGUUUGUUUUAUCUGAUUAGUGUACCAAAUUCAAUUGGAACUAUAUCAGAUCCAUGAAAUUAUUGAUUAUUGAUACAUGCAGGUUAUGUGUGAUCCUUAUACACCAGCUGGUGUUCCAAUUCCAACCAACAAGAGGCACAACGCUGCUAAAAUUUUCAGACACCAAUCGUUGCCUCCGAGGAGCCUUGGUAUGCUCAUCUUCUUGUUUUUUGGCUAUACAUAUUAUUUUCGUUACUAUAAAUUCUAAUAGUGUUUGUUUUUUUUAAACGAUUGUAUGUUUUGGAUGAAUGAAAGCAACCACGAUGCAUUAAGAAGAUUCAAGUGAUGUUUCAAUUGAUCUUUUAUCUUUAAUUUAUCGAUUUUCUAAUUUUACAAAAAUGUUCUCACCGAGUAGAAUAUACUUUUGAGUUUUGAGUUAAAUCUUUCACAGUCUGUUGUGGAUUAGCAACGUUUCAAGCCAUAUUAACUAUUGUGUUGUGGCAGUUCGAAAGAUUCAUAUAAAUUGGACUAUUGCUACAAAAAAAACAGAAUCACAGGUUUAAUUCUAUCAAAGGAGAUAAAGCCUCUUAUCUCUACUGUCUUUGAGGGUAAAGAUGCUAAUGUCAUCGCCCACGGAGCAAGAAAUUGCGGAAAAACAUAUCUCAUACAUGUAUUGAAAGCAAUCCCAUUAAGGUAUUGAUUAUCAGACAUGAUACUAUAGAUGAAAAAUGCUAAUUAUUGUAUCGCAUGGUUUGUAGGGAAAUGAUUAUGCUCUGACGCUCAAAGGAAACAGACACCUUUGACUGUGUCUGCUACUUCUAGAAAACAGACAGUGCUAAGGGGAAAUGUGACAGAGAGAAAAGACUAAAAUCAAAGCAAGGAAACUGUUCCGCGAAGCAAACGAUUCAGUGAAAUGUAAAAAUAGCAUGUUGGAAAAUUUAAUUAAUACGUCAUGAAGUGGAAUAAUCUAGAUUCUUCCUUUACAAAGAGGUAAAACAGAGGGUAUAGAAACAGAGACUAAGAGACCAAGAGUCUUAAUUAAGGAGGUUUGGUAUACCACUUAACCCUAAUCAAUCCACUACUUACUUGAUAAAGACAUAUUCUCAUCAUGUAUAUUUGAUUAGAUUAGCUAGGCUCGUAAUAUGGGACAAAACCCCGAAGAUGAGCAAGAAAUGCUUUGAAAGAUUUUAUCGUAGCAUGAGUGUCAUAUCUGCACCCUUCAGUGCUCCCUUGUAAAAUCAAAGUAUCUGAGUAUAGAUACUUAAUAGGUUUAAGUGUUCUUCGAUCUUGGACGAUAUGUUCCAACUUAUACUGAUACAGAGGGUCACGACAUACAUACUAUAAUUGAUAGAGAGUAUUAUCGUCAUCGUGGAUUCAGGUUUUUCCAAGGACGAUAGAUACAUGGCCGGCCCUAUAGACAUCAACAAGAAACUUUUGCUGUAACCCAAAUUUUGUUUCUGAAAUUCUUCAACAAAAAUUAUUUAUGAAA